UCUAAGGAAAAAACGGUUGAAGGAAGAAAGGGGGCGAAAACGAGAGGUAAGCAGGGAAACGAAAGCGAAAGGAGAGGGCAGACGGAUCGACGGUCGAGCAAAAAGUGAGAGAAAACAAGUAAGUAAAAGAGCGGGAAAAAGUUAAGUAUUAUUACAAUGCAGGAAAAAGUCAAGUAUUGUUCCUCCCGUACGAAAAAAAACA
rnacentral:lncRNA from 1 species